UCGGAUUCAUUGGGCGUAAAGGGGGCGUAGGCGGUCGGGUAAGUCGGAUGUGAAAUCUCAGGGCUCAACCCUGAAACUGCAUUCGAUACUGCCUGGCUAGGGUACUGGAGAGGAGACUGGAAUUUACGGUGUAGCAGUGAAAUGCGUAGAUAUCGUAAGGAAGACCAGUGGCGAAGGCGAGUCUCUGGACAGUUACCGACGCUGAGGCACGAAGGCCAGGGGAGCAAACGGG
rnacentral:rRNA from 1 species